rnacentral:rRNA from 1 species
GCAGUCGAGGGGUACAGGGAGCUUGCUCCGCUGACGACCGGCGCACGGGUGCGCACCGCGUAUGGAACCUACCUUCUACAGGGGAAUAGCCCAUGGAAACGUGGAUUAAUGCCCCGUGGCACUAUUUUGUGGCAUCACAUUAUAGUUAAAGCCUUCGGGCGGUAGAAGAUGGCCAUGCGUCCCAUUAGCUUGUUGGUAAGGUAACGGCUUACCAAGGCUACGAUGGGUAGGGGCCCUGAGAGGGGGAUCCCCCACACUGGUACUGAGACACGGACCAGACUCCUACGGGAGGCAGCAGUGAGGAAUAUUGGACAAUGGAGGGGACUCUGAUCCAGCCAUGCCGCGUGCAGGAAGAAUGCCCUAUGGGUAGUAAACUGCUUUUAUACGGGAAGAAAAAGGGGCACGUGUGCCCUACUGACGGUACCGUAAGAAUAAGGACCGGCUAACUCCGUGCCAGCAGCCGCGGUAAUACGGAGGGUCCGAGCGUUAUCCGGAAUUAUUGGGUUUAAAGGGUCCGUAGGCGGGCGAUUAAGUCAGUGGUGAAAGUCUGUAGCUCAACUAUAGAAUUGCCUUUGAUACUGAUCGUC